GACGAACGCUGGCGGCGUGCUUAACACAUGCAAGUCGAACGGAAAGGCUCCAGCUUGCUGGAGUACUCGAGUGGCGAACGGGUGAGUAACACGUGGGUAAUCUGCCCUGCACUCUGGGAUAAGCCUGGGAAACUGGGUCUAAUACUGGAUAUGACCUUUCUCCUUAUGGGGUUUGGUGGAAAGUUUUUCGGUGUGGGAUGAGCCCGCGGCCUAUCAGCUUGUUGGUGGGGUGAUGGCCUACCAAGGCGACGACGGGUAGCCGGCCUGAGAGGGUGAUCGGCCACAUUGGGACUAAGAUACGGCCCAGACUCCUACGGGAGGCAGCAGUGGGGAAUAUUGCACAAUGGGCGGAAGACUGAUGCAGCGACGCCGCGUGAGGGAUGACGGCCUUCGGGUUGUAAACCUCUUUCAGCAGGGACGAAGCGUAAGUGAAGGUACCUGCAGAAGAAGCACCGGCUAACUAUGUG
rnacentral:rRNA from 1 species